UACGUAGGGUGCGAGCGUUAAUCGGAAUUACUGGGCGUAAAGUGUGCGCAGGCGGCGUCGCAAGUCGAGUGUGAAAGCCCCGAGCUUAACUUGGGAAUUGCGCUCGAAACUACGAUGCUGGAGUGUGGCAGAGGAAGGUGGAAUUCCACGUGUAGCGGUGAAAUGCGUAGAGAUGUGGAGGAACACCAAUGGCGAAGGCAGCCUUCUGGGCCAACACUGACGCUCAUGCACGAAAGCGUGGGGAGCAAACAGG
rnacentral:rRNA from 1 species